GGACGAUCUGGUUGCGACAUCUGUCACCCCAUUGAUCGCCAGGGUUGAUUCGACUGAUCUGGCUGGCUAGGCAGAUCACCACUUCAUGUGAGUCCCUCCCUAAGCUGCAUGCUAGAUAGAAAAGGAUGGCCUUCCCUGAAUAGAGAUGGACUGGUCUUUGGUCAAGGGUAUCCGAGUAGCUGCGCUCCCCUGCUAGAACCUCCAAACAAGCUCUCAAGUAUAUAUGCAAGUUCAAGGUGAAAUGACACUAUGUGAGUGUUGU
rnacentral:snRNA from 1 species